CUAUUACUUGAUAAAUUCAUACGGAUUUUAUAAUUCGAUCGCAAAUUCGGAAAAUAAAUGUCACUAUCAACUAAACAAAUUAGAAUUGUUUUUAAUAAUUUAUUUAUUUAAGAAGAAAAUACAUAUGUCGUAAUUUUUGCCAAUAAUAUAUAAAUGAAAGGAUAAUUUAUGCUAGGAUCGCGUCAUCUUACAAAACAAUUCUGAACAGUGACUCACCUCGCCGAAGGAUUUAUUUUACUUGUAUUUUCAAGGAUAUUAUUCUAGUUACGAUGUGAUCGCACGGUCCUUUUGAAAAAUGAAACUAUCGAAGAAAACAAAGUUGCAAAGCUUCCAAUGCAACAGUUAGACAAAUACUAACAAGCAUUACCAAUCAUGGCUCGAAGAAAGCAAGCGAGCAAGUGCAGGUUUCCCUUCCUUCUGGCUACUUCACUUCUCCUGUAUAUAUCUGUCACGUUUUUACCGUUAUGGGAGUAACAAGCCAGCCACCGAAGUACCACUGUUUAUGUUUGUUAAAUCAAGCAAUAGAUAGGGGGCAGUUCAACCUUCGCGUGCAUUUGUCAUAUAUUAAAGUGAUCAUUAUCUUCUUCUCUGCAAUUUCCUCUCUUUAACAAUAUAUAUAUAUGAUUGUAUUUAGCAGUAAUAUAUGUAUGUACAUACUACGAAUUCAUGACUUCUGUAUUUAUCAUUAAAUAAAAUAGUUAUUGAUUAAUAAAUAAAUUGGUUAAACUUUAUUUUAAGAGACCAAAAAUUAUUAAUUUUUUGAUUGAAAAUACAAAUCCUAAAUCAAGAGAUCCAGUGAUUGGAAAGUUAUGGCUAUGUAGAAUUGAGAAAUUGUAAGAUAUCUUAGAUGUUACUUUGAUAUUAUAUUUUUUUUCCUGUCAUCUGAUUAGUCUGCAUAGAUGAGCAUUGAACUGAACUUCACCGAAAAUUAGUUUGUACUAGCAACGUACUAACGGCCGUCGCAAAAUGGCCGCAAACUACGUGGAUUUAUUUACAGCCAGUAACUCACUAAUUUUAACGAAUCAUAGAUAGAAGCCAAUAUGGCGCCAAAGUAAUUUGUAAAAUACCCUAAAAAUUUAAGUCAAUUUUACAUAAUCAUAAUCUUUAAAUCGGUGAGUUUCUCACCUUAAAACUUGUAUUCUCGAAUUUUACACGUCAUAAACUACAAGAUUGCAAAAACGGUCAGUAGCUGUUGAUCCCUUGAAGUAAAGUUUAUCCAAUAAGUUAUUUCGUUUCUAGAGUAAAAAAUUUAAAAAUCACAUGUUUUAAUACCAUCAUUCAUAUAUAACGUAUCAUAUUUCAUUAUAUCAUUACGUGUGUGUAUAUAUAUAUAUAUAUCAUCACAGAAGAAAUGAGAGAUGCUUACGCUCGUACUUCUAGUUGUUUCAUAGUACAGGUGCUGCACCAUGCAGCCAAGUGUUGAGUUUAAUUGACAUUAGCAAGUACAAGAACCUGUGUAUUUAAACUUAAAGUUAGAGAUCUGCCCUGUUUAAUUGCAUACUAGCAUAGACAAGAACUUAUUUAAUU
rnacentral:misc_RNA from 1 species